GUCUACGGCCAUGCUACCCUGAACAAGCCCUAUCCCAUCUGAUCUCGGAAGCUUAAGCAGAGUUGGGCCUGGUUAGUACUUGAAUGGGAGACCACAUAGGAAGACCAGGUGCUGUAGCCG
rnacentral:rRNA from 1 species